rnacentral:rRNA from 1 species
GUCCACAGCCAUACCACCUAGAACAUAUACCAGUCUUGUCUGAUCUCAGAAGCUAAGCAGGGUCGGGUCUGGUCAGUAUUUGGAUGGGAGAAUCCUUUGACUAGGCCAGACGAUGGUGGUAU